UACGUAGGUGGCAAGCGUUGUCCGGAAUUACUGGGUGUAAAGGGUGCGCAGGCGGGUAUUCAAGUCAGAUGUUAAAUCUAUGGGCUCAACCCAUAGUCGCAUUUGAAACUGUGUAUCUUGAGUGAAGUAGAGGUAGGCGGAAUUCCGAGUGUAGCGGUGAAAUGCGUAGAUAUUCGGAGGAACACCAGUGGCGAAGGCGGCCUACUGGGCUUUAACUGACGCUGAGGCACGAAAGCAUGGGGAGCAAACAGGAUUAGAUACCCUGGUAGUCCAUGCCGUAAACGAUGAUUACUAGGUGUGGGGGGACUGACCCCUUCCGUGCCGGAGUUAACACAAUAAGUAAUCCACCUGGGGAGUACGACCGCAAGGUUGAA
rnacentral:rRNA from 1 species